AAACGAUGAGUGCUAAGUGUUAGGGGGUUUCCGCCCCUUAGUGCUGCAGCUAACGCAUUAAGCACUCCGCCUGGGGAGUACGGUCGCAAGACUGAAACUCAAAGGAAUUGACGGGGGCCCGCACAAGCGGUGGAGCAUGUGGUUUAAUUCGAAGCAACGCGAAGAACCUUACCAGGUCUUGACAUCCUCUGACAACCCUAGAGAUAGGGCUUUCCCUUCGGGGACAGAGUGACAGGUGGUGCAUGGUUGUCGUCAGCUCGUGUCGUGAGAUGUUGGGUUAAGUCCCGCAACGAGCGCAACCCUUGAUCUUAGUUGCCAGCAUUCAGUUGGGCACUCUAAGGUGACUGCCGGUGACAAACCGGAGGAAAGUGGGGAUGACGUCAAUCAUCAUGCCCCUUAUGACCUGGGCUACACACGUGCUACAAUGGACAGAACAAAGGGCUGCCAGACCGCAAGGUUUAGCCAAUCCCAUAAAUCUGUUCUCAGUUCGGAUCGCAGUCUGCAACUCGACUGCGUGAAGCUGGAAUCGCUAGUAUCGCGGAUCAGCAUGCGCGGGGAAUACGUUCCCGGGCUUGUAACACCGCCCGCACCCCCCAGAGUUGCAAACCCGAAUCGGGAGGUAACCUUUAUGGAGCAGCGCCGAAGUGGGGAGAUGAUUGGGUGAAGUCGUACAGGUAGCCGUAUCGAGGGCGUG
rnacentral:rRNA from 1 species